GGUCCUACGGGGCGCAGCAGUGAGGAAUAUUGGUCAAUGGGCGCAAGCCUGAACCAGCCAAGUCGCGUGAGGGAAGACGGCCCUACGGGUUGUAAACCUCUUUUGCCGGGGAGCAAGGGCCGGGACGAGUCCCGGUCCGGAGAGUACCCGGAGAAAAAGCAUCGGCUAACUCCGUGCCAGCAGCCGCGGUAAUACGGAGGAUGCGAGCGUUAUCCGGAUUUAUUGGGUUUAAAGGGUGCGUAGGCGGGCUUUUAAGUCAGCGGUAAAAAUUCGGGGCUCAACCCCGUCCGGCCGUUGACACUGGG
rnacentral:rRNA from 1 species